rnacentral:rRNA from 1 species
UGGCUCAGGAUGAACGCUAGCUACAGGCUUAACACAUGCAAGUCGAGGGGAAACGGCAUUGAGUGCUUGCACUCUUUGGACGUCGACCGGCGCACGGGUGAGUAACGCGUAUCCAACCUUCCCAUUACUGUGGGAUAACCUGCCGAAAGGCAGACUAAUACCGCAUAGUCUUCGAUGACGGCAUCAGAUUUGAAGUAAAGAUUUAUCGGUAAUGGAUGGGGAUGCGUCUGAUUAGCUUGUUGGCGGGGUAACGGCCCACCAAGGCAACGAUCAGUAGGGGUUCUGAGAGGAAGGUCCCCCACAUUGGAACUGAGACACGGUCCAAACUCCUACGGGAGGCAGCAGUGAGGAAUAUUGGUCAAUGGACGGAAGUCUGAACCAGCCAAGUAGCGUGCAGGAUGACGGCCCUAUGGGUUGUAAACUGCUUUUGUAUGGGGAUAAAGUUAGGGACGUGUCCCUAUUUGCAGGUACCAUACGAAUAAGGACCGGCUAAUU